GGUAUGUGUGUGUGUGUGUGUGUGUGUGUGUGUGUGUGUGUGUGGUUUGUCCUGAAACUGCAUUGGAUCCCUAGCUCCUGGCCUUCCCUUCACCUGUGUGCUGGAUCCGAGAUUCCACCCCGGCUCCAGGGCUGAGGAAGGCACUCAGAAACCCCAGGGACAGCCUGAGAUGGCUGAGCCCUGGAGUUGCCUAGGACUGCCAGGCACCAGAGUCCCGGCCCCAGAAUCUCCAAAGGCCCCCGCUCCCAGUGUGGAAAGGGGCCUCCUGAUGCCUGAGUGCCCCAGCAUGGCACCCACCUACUCAGCACAAAGGACACCAGAGGAAACGCCCCCAGGUCCCUGCAUCCAGGGGGAGGAGCUAGUCGGAUCACCAUCCACAUCUCCUUGUGCCCAUUUCCUGCUUUUGCUUCUAUGCAAUAUAAAGAUUUAAAAAUAAAAUAAAAUACAAUAAAUUUAUAUUUUUAGUUUAA